rnacentral:tRNA from 1 species
GGGGAUGUAGCUCAGUGGUAGAGCAUAUGCUUUGCAUGCAUGAGGUCCUGGGUCCAAUCCCCAGCUUCUCCA